rnacentral:lncRNA from 1 species
GUUUUUGUCUCGUUCUCUUUCUUCACCUUUCUAUUUCUAUAUGCACAUCCAUGCGGAUCCGUUUGUCUGCCUACCUGUCAAGCAGGGCGUCUGUAUCUACCGUUCGAUCUACACCUGCCUGGAAGAUCUGCCUGUAUCUCUCUUGUUUGGUUAUUCUUCUUCCUUUCUGUUAAUCCACAACUCGAUCUCUCGAUCGGGCGCUCUGCGUCUCUUUCCAUAUCUCUUUUUUUCUGCCUGCAGGUACCUCGUUUACGGUCUCUAGGCCGAUGCGAGGGAGUGUCUUCACACGCGCAGGGGUGGAUUUUUUUGAGGCGAGCGUCACGUACCGAAGGAUUUGGAAGAGGAGAGCAGCGUGGUAAUUUUCGAGCACUGAGUGGUUCUGGUAGAGACGGGAAGGCAUGCUGGGGGGGAAACGAGGUAGAGAGAAUGAAAAGCGGAAACUCAUCGAGCUCUCUCGUGCCGCGCUGGAACGACACUCCGGCACACUUGACACGGCUUUUCCAAAAAGGGGGGACAGUAACCCAGGGACGUGGCGCGGAUCUCUCGGAGGGCGUUCCGGAGCAAGCACAGAAGCGCGUCUACUCUGGGGCAAAAGAACCGGAACUUCUGAGGGGUGUUUCGGAGGACACAGGCAUCUCCGGUGUGCCGCUCACGAAGAAGCGUUUCACUGAAGCCGUUCCCGUUUCUCCCAGACACUCACGCGCUCGUGUUUUCAGCCUCUCUUGCCUCUGUGAAGUCUUCCUCGCGAGACUGCCCAGAAACAGCUGAAAAGGGGAGAGUGGAGUCUGCAGUUCGCACCUGUGUGCCCAUCAUUCGAGCGGUCUCGACGGCGAACGGGGACAAAUCGCGUGUCGGCGUCUUACCAGUUAUUCCGAUUCACGAAAAGAUUGUUCGUUCCUGGAUGCCCGAGAUCGUGCCCGAGAGCCGCGACAGAGAGAACAAAGUAGUCGAUCGGUUGGAACUGAGCAGCUACAUCCGGCAAGGCCAUGAGAAGGCAACAAAUCUGAGGAGCAAGCACGAGAAAAGAGGACAAAGCCACCGAGAGAAACUGCAGAGGGCUCCUGUGUGGACGUUUCUGUUCCGUACCGCCCAGCGCUUUCGGACCGUGCGCCUGGGGCAAGCCUGUGCACGGACGCCGAGCAGCGCAGCCGUAGAAAGAGGGGAAACGCGUGUGGGGAGAGAAAAGACCUGGAACCUACUUGGGCGACAUUGAGAGCGUGAAAGAAGUUGUGGUACGGAUUCGGUUGGUAGUUUUUGUACAGCGCAACGGCAAAGCCCAUGAGGAUCUCGCCAGGAACUUCCACCUGAGCCGUCACGGCAAAAUGAUGGAGAAUGUCUCUGACAAAGGCACCAGUUUAGAUAAAGACGGGAGGAAACAAAUUGAACAGGGGGAAGAGGCAGUCAACCUACGUCACAGGCGUCCUUUUUCCAACAACCCACGCGAGAGAAUUCGCGAAAACCGUACGCUGCUCAACACUCUCUAAGGAAUUCGUAUCAUCAUAUACACCUAUAUAUGAGAGCUAGGAUGAGACACGUACACGGGUCAUCUGUAUAUAUGUGUGGUUUGGGAUGUUUCUAAAGAGAAGAGAUGGAUCACGUGCCUGAGGAAGUUUCGAGACGGUCGAUAAGCAACAGAGAUGCCGAUUUAGGGUGAGCGGCUAUGCAUGCAUUCCUCUGUCGCACAGGCACGGAGCUACACACAUAUUUUUUACGCCUGCAGCGGCGCUGAGUUCAUGGCGAUCAGCGUCGGGCGACAGGGGAAGAGAGAGUGAAGCGACGCGCGAGGCGAAGAAAAAUGUCUGG